rnacentral:rRNA from 1 species
AGGGUUCGAUUCUGGCUCAGGAUGAACGCUAGCUACAGGCUUAACACAUGCAAGUCGAGGGGCAGCAUUGGAGUAGCAAUACUCAGAUGGCGACCGGCGCACGGGUGAGUAACGCGUAUCCAACCUGCCGCUUACUCGGGGAUAGCCUUUCGAAAGAAAGAUUAAUACCCGAUGGUAUAAAGAGUUCGCAUGUUCUCUUUAUUAAAGAAUUUCGGUAAGCGAUGGGGAUGCGUUCCAUUAGAUAGUUGGCGGGGUAACGGCCCACCAAGUCUACGAUGGAUAGGGGUUCUGAGAGGAAGGUCCCCCACAUUGGAACUGAGACACGGUCCAAACUCCUACGGGAGGCAGCAGUGAGGAAUAUUGGUCAAUGGACGAGAGUCUGAACCAGCCAAAAGUAGCGUGAAGGAUGACUGCCCUAUGGGUUGUAAACUUCUUUUAUAAGGGAAUAAAGUGAGGGACGUGUCCCUUUUUGUAUGUACCUUAUGAAUAAGGAUCGGCUAACUCCGUGCCAGCCGCCGC